CAGUAGUUCAUAAUAUUCUUAAGAAUCAGCGCCAUAUUUCAUAUACUUGAAGUACCUGAUUUUGCUGUGACAAAUGUGUUACUAACAGAGAUACUGACAUGCCUAAUCUUUUUAUUCACCCGCUACACGUGCCAUGGAAGAAACCAGAAUCUCCAGUGAGUGAGCGCUUUGGCUUGGUUCUGGGAGUUGAUGGCCCAGCAGGUGUGCCUGCAUUUGAAUGUCAAAGAGCAUCUUGGAGCUGUCAUGGCACGUCUGCCACACGAGAGAAACUUCCCUCCAGUCCUCGCCGUUAACCACAAGGCACCUGGGCAGGAGAGAGGAUGGCGUGGAGUGGCGGUUGAUGUGAGGGAAAGACUAUCAGGAGAGCAGAGACUGAAGUCUUUUGCUGCCGUCAGAGUGAUUAGGUGUGGCUGCGGAGGCCAGCUUCCUACCCCCAUCUUUAGCAGGCCCUAAUUUUAUGUGUCUUCAAUCCCCCGAAGAUGGGCAGUAAUCAGUUUGUUCCUGUCUGCUGGCUUUCGGGGAGGGAAGGGCGGCACUAAUCAGAAGUGGCAUAGCACUCGCAGAUGUCAGGCAAAGGGGAGGGGAGCAAGAUGACACCUCACGGAUUUAUUACCUCCCCAUCUCCAUCCUGAGCUGGGCGAAUCCUGCAUAAAAUGGGCAAAAUAAAUUAAGCUAACCACCGAGUUAACCAAACAUGGCAAAAGCAAGCCUGGAAAUCCUGAACCAUGAGAGACCUCUUGAGUUUUGCCUUUGUGCUGAAUCUGUUUGUACUUUGCUGCUUUGCACGUAUGAAUUAUUAUCCUUAAUUCAUUGAUACCAUUUCUUUUAUCAUUCAAAUGUUUCCUACUGUGCCUCCAAGAUCAAAAUGUGAUUCAUUUUUAGUAAAUGGUACAGUAAAGUACAUUCAAACUGUCUUUUAUAUUUUGGCUCCAAUAAAUUACUAUGU